rnacentral:rRNA from 1 species
AGUGAACGCUGGCGGUAGGCCUAACACAUGCAAGUCGAACGGCAGCACAGUAAGAGCUUGCUCUUACGGGUGGCGAGUGGCGGACGGGUGAGGAAUACAUCGGAAUCUACUUUUUCGUGGGGGAUAACGUAGGGAAACUUACGCUAAUACCGCAUACGACCUACGGGUGAAAGCAGGGGAUCUUCGGACCUUGCGCGAUUGAAUGAGCCGAUGUCGGAUUAGCUAGUUGGCGGGGUAAAGGCCCACCAAGGCGACGAUCCGUAGCUGGUCUGAGAGGAUGAUCAGCCACACUGGAACUGAGACACGGUCCAGACUCCUACGGGAGGCAGCAGUGGGGAAUAUUGGACAAUGGGCGCAAGCCUGAUCCAGCCAUACCGCGUGGGUGAAGAAGGCCUUCGGGUUGUAAAGCCCUUUUGUUGGGAAAGAAAAGCAGCAGGUUAAUACCCCGCUGUUCCGACGGUACCCAAAGAAUAAGCACCGGCUAUCCUCGUG